CUUGGCUGGAAGCGUUUAGUUUAGUCACACGCGUGGCCGUGAGUGCAAGCUCCGUUCACUUUCCUUUCUAAUGAAAACAAUAUUGUCCGGUUGAAACAUUAUUGAAUAUUUAUGAUAAAAACACCCUAAGGAUUGAUUAGAAACAUCGUUUGACAUGUUUCUGCAAACUCAAAUGGAAAUUUUUUGACUUUUCGUCCAGACUUUGUGCCCGUGCUUUGUGCAGUUGGAUUACUGGACUAAACGCGCAAACAAAAAUGAGGACCUGAGCCCUAGGACCAUGCCUCAGGACUACCUGGCAUGAUGACUUCUUGCUGUUCCCAGUCCACCUGGCCAUGCUGCUGCUCCAGUUUCAACUGUUCAACUGGCUAUGGAACCCUGACCUGUUCACCGGACGUGCUUGUUGCACCCUCGACAACUACUAUGAUUAUUAUUAUUUGACCAUGCUGGUCAUUUAUGAACAUUUUAACAUCUUGACCAUGUUCUGUUAUAAUAUCCACCCGGCACAGCCAGAAGAGGACUGGCCACCCCUCAUAGCCUGGUUCCUCUCUAGGAUUCUUCCUAGGUUUUGGCCUUUCUAGGGAGUUUUUCCUAGCCACCGUGCUUCUACACCUGC
rnacentral:lncRNA from 1 species